GCCAAUCAAAUGAUAGAAUUAUAGUCAGAUUAUAUAACUGUAAUUCAGUUGAUAGUGAGAAUGAAUCUUACUGCCUAAUAAUAUUUGUAUGAUAUUUUUUUUUAAGUCGAGGGUGUCAUAUUUUUAGUGAUUCUAAAUUUUAAAAUGGUACUCAUGAAAAAUAAAUCCUAGGCCUAUAGUGUAUAGGUAUAUAAUAGAUAUGAUGAACUAGGGCAGUAUCAAUGACUGUGUCCUUCACAUUCACAUUCUAAUAUUCUCGUCAACGUUGCCAAUAUCGUUUUCAUUUGCGGAGUGAUUCUUUUUUUAAUUAACAAUACAUUAGUCAUGUAUUUUGAAGCAGUGUGUAUCUGAUUACAGUAUUUUAUUUAUUUGGUAUAAAAACCAAUUUGAUUGGAUGAGAGGCCUCGUCGGAACGCCCAUUUCUUUAGAGACAUUGACUCGAUCUGACACGCAUCGACUAAUGGUAAAGGAUAGGCGGCAGUUCAACAUUCCCGAAAAGCUCGUGCUGGUGUAAAGUUGACAAAAAAACAGCAAUUUCUCAGCUAAUAAUUGCAUAAAGUUUACCAUUUUUGUAUCAAAGAUACCUACAGUCUAAAUGAACACUAGGAAAAACAAAGUAGACUACCGGGCUUUAUGUAAUGGUCCAGAACUCGAUGUCCGUAAACAGCGCAACGACAAGCAAGAAAGGUAGUCCACUACAAAAUUGUUGAUCUUGAAGUAAUUGAGCAGAACGACGAUUUGUGCUUAGUGCAUUACAUUGGUUGGGACAAAAAUUACGAAGAAUGGAAAGCAAUUGAAGAUGUUGUGGAUUUGAAGAGCGUGAAUGAGAAUGCUGAAGAUCUCAUAAUUAAUUCCAUCAAGGUGAACAUCAAGCAAACCCUAAUAGCGUCACGUGUCCAGAACCCAGAGGUAUUAAUUAAUAUACAAACACAACAGGAAACUUAUGAAAAUUUGUUUUCAAGUGUGGACAAAUACUUAAGUUUAAAAGAAGCUGCUGCUAUAUUUGGUAACAAUUUUUAUUACCGAAUAUUGAACGAACAUGGUGAUACCGUUUACAUUGCCCCUGAAACACUUACAAUAAGAUUGAAAAGUAACGGAGUACCUCAAGAAAGUAAUUACUCAAAGACUUCUCUUGCCUAAUAAAAUUUGUUAGAGUCUGUGGUAAAGGUGGCAGAUAUCCCACCUAUUUAAUUUCAUUAGCAAUUAGAGAUUUAGUAUUGAUCAUUAAUAUUCAUUAGCCUAAAUAAUUGUAGCUGUUUUUAUUGCCGUUGUAUUUUUAUUUGUUUUAUUUGCACAUUUGCAAGGCAUUGUUUCAUUUCAUUGGACAGUUACUGUUAAUUCUCACGAAGUCCUGCAGUUUAUUAUUCAUGCAAAUUGGAAUGACCCUCGGUCAAUAAUUUAACAAAUUCUUGAAGAUCAAAGCAUCGAUGCACAUUUUGUUGAUGUAGAUGCAACUGCUAACAUCUAUAAGGGAAGAUUUAAAUAUUUAUUUCAAAAGUACAAAAAAAAAAAUCAAAGAUGGUUUGACAAAACAAAAUUUUCUAAACAAGUUAAAAAAUGAAGAAUAUGAGUUUGCCAUAGGGACAAUAGAACAAAUGAGAGAGCACAAUGCAUCAAAAUUGGCAAAGCGGAGAAGAAUUGAUAAAAUGUUAAGACAAACCAGAAGGUUAAGAGUCUUAAUUAAAAGAGUAAAUAGACGCCGAAUGCAAGUUCAAGAGGUUGGACCUAUUGAUAAAUGGAUUUUUGUAAAAGAUACCGGUUGUAUUUCUGAUGCACUCUUCCAUGAAAUCAGUGCAACUGCUGGUGUCCAUAUUCCAACACUCAACUUCUUAAGAAAGCGAAUUACAGAAUAUAAUUCAUUAUUCACAGUAAAACAUUUCCUCAAUUAAAUGCUGUCUGUCAACCAUCAGAAGAGAAAAUAGUAACAGCACUUUUAACAUUCCAUAAACUAAAGACAGGCUGCAAUUUAAACAACGAUACGGUAACAAUAACAAUCACAGGACGGUACUAACUUUGGUAAUAAUCAGACUAUAACAAAUAUUGGUUUUAAAAUUAUAUUUGAUAAAUAUUUUAGCCCAGAAUAUGUGAUUGUGAUGGCAAAGAUAAAAUAAAUAAUAAAAAAUAAAUGACAUAUACACAAAGUGGUACUUUAGGGCCACUAGCCACAAACAACUUGACUGCCUGUAACAGAUUUACUUAAAGCAAACAGGAUUGAACAUCUAGCCCCUACUUGUGCACGUGUUGUACAUAGGUAUUUCUGUUCAAUUUGCAAUCUCACUGGUCAUAAUAUAAAUACAUGUCUAAAUAAAGUGUGAAUAUCAGUUUACAAAUUAUAGUAUUGUAAGUUUUCAAUGUGCUAUUUUUUCUGUAUCGGGCUCGGCUGCCCUUCCAAAAAUUGAAUUGUACGUAAACUAAUGUGUAUAUUUGCAUAAAGAAUUAUAUAGUAAUCUGAUAUUAAUUUGUACUCUAUUUUAUUAUUUUUUAAAGUGUAUGAAUAUAAGUUGAUUUCAUCAUUCUGCAAUAACUUGUGUAAGGAUAAUACAGUAUGUAUUUUUUUAAAGAAAUAUCAUGUAAAGUGCAACUCUCAAGUGAAAAUAAAACAGCAAUAAGUAAGUGCUAAGAAAUGUAUACAGUAUUUUAUGCAAGUCACAAUUUAGAUCUAGAUUUUAGAUUUUGUGUAAUAAACUAAGCAUGUAUGAGUGCAAACUUUUACUUAGUUGGGUAAUUAAUUUACUAUCAAGUAUUACACACAGUAUUGUAGUUAUGUUUCAUUUUAAAUCAUUCUUUAUUUAAGUGCAAUUAUGAUGUAUAUGAAUUUAUAUUAUUUGUGUAUUAACUGUAAAGUUAUUGAAUUGUUGACUCGCAAACUAAAUUUAACAAUGUGUUUUAAUUUGAUUAAUACUUAAUAAUAAUGUAAUUUUAAAUCAUCCUGUAUGAACAGGACUGGAAUAUCGUAUGGUGAUUUUGUAUGUAAAUGUUAUAGUAUUGAAUUAAUGUUAAAAGAUACAAAUGUAAAUAACUUGAAAUAUUGUACAUCCUUCAAUGAAUAAAUCAACAUUUUUUUGGAUAUAUGAUGUUAAAUCAAAAACACAAUAUGCCAGUAACUCUGGACUCUGAAAUAAGUUUUCAAUGUACAAUAAAUA
rnacentral:lncRNA from 1 species